UGAAUACGAGACGCUAAGGCGUCGAAGUAGUGUAUGUCAUACUUCCAAGAAAAGCUUGCACUGUCAUAGAUAAAAAACGCCUGUACCAUAACCGACACAGGUGGGUAGGUAGAGUAUACUAAGGGGCGCGAGAUAACUCUCUCUAAGGAACUCGGCAAAAUAACUCCGUAACUUCGGGAGAAGGAGUGCCUUAUUCGUAAGGUUGCAAUAACAAGAUCCAAGCAACUGUUUAUCAAAAACACAGGUCUCCGCUAAGUCGUAAGACGAUGUAUGGGGGCUGACGCCUGCCCAGUGCCAGAAGGUUAAAGAAGUUGGUUAGCAAUUGCGAAGCUGAUAACUGAAGCCCUGGUGAACGGCGGCCGUAACAAUAACGGUCCUAAGGUAGCGAAAUUCCUUGUCGGGUAAGUUCCGACCCGCACGAAAGGCGUAAUGAUUUGGAUACUGUCUCGGAGAGGGGCUCGGUGAGAUAGACUUGUCUGUGAAGAUGCGGACUACCUGCACCAGGACAGAAAGACCCUAUGAAGCUUUACUGUAACUUGAAAUUGAAAUUGGACUUUAUUCGCGCAGUAUAGGUGGAAGGCGUUGAUUAUAAUCUUGUGGGAUUAUUGGAGCCAUCAGUGAGAUACCACUCUUGUAAUGUUAGAUUUCUAACUUUGAAUCAUUAUCUGGUCAAAGAACAGUUUCAGGCGGGCAGUUUGACUGGGGCGGUCGCCUCCUAAACGGUAACGGAGGCGUACAAAGGUUUCCUCUGAACGGUUAGAAAUCGUAUCUAGAGUGUAAAGGCAUAAGGAAGCUUGACUGUGAGACCUACAAGUCGAGCAGGGACGAAAGUCGGUCUUAGUGAUCUGACGGUACUGAGUGGAAAGGCCGUCACUCAACGGAUAAAAGUUACUCUAAGGAUAACAGGCUGAUCUCCCCCAAGAGUUCACAUCGACGGGGAGGUUUGGCACCUCGAUGUCGGCUCAUCGCAUCCUGGGGCGGUAGUACGUCCCAAGGGUUGGGCUGUUCGCCCAUGAAAGCGGUACGCGAGCUGGGUUCAGAACGUCGUGAGACAGUUCGGUCCAUAUCCGGUGUAGGCGUUAGAAUAUUGAGAGGAGCCUUCUUUAGUACGAGAGGACCGAGAAGGACAUACCUCUGGUGUACCAGUUAUCGUGCCGACGGUAAACGCUGGGUAGCUAUGUAUGGAGUGGAUAACCGCUGAAAGCAUCUAAGUGGGAAGCCCACCUCAAGAUAAG
rnacentral:rRNA from 1 species